UUGACGCAAAUUAACUUUCUACAACUACGAAAAAUGUGGAGAAUGUCUAUAAGUGGAAUCACCAAAUUACGAACAAUUUAUACUGUCCACUCUUGCGAAAUGCUGCAACAGCCCCAUACAAACUUGGAAAAGCUAAAAGCUGAGUAUCUUACUUACUUGUAAAUCCAAACUGGCUAACUACUCUUUGCAUCCUGGCUACUUUCUGUUCGGUAAUGCUCAUUCAUUAAUUUGAAUUGUAUAGUUGUCAAAUGAUUUAUCUGUCCAUGUCAAAGUCGCAUGUGAGUGUAGUUGCUGGCGUUGCAGAAAGGGAAACUGCAUCAACAAUAUUUGUAACCACUUCCAAAUUUCUGCUACUAGUACCAAGCUGACUACUAACUCCUCCAGCUAAAUGUAUGUACUACUUCGAAGUGGUUGCAAAUCAUGGUUUUUCUGCAUGAGUCAAUACAUAAUAAAUUCGUACUAUUUUUCAGUGUACAGGUUUUCAGUGCUCAAAACCAACAGGCAUGGAUUUUAUACACGGGCACAGGUGACAAUUCUCGUUGAUGUACAGGACAAUCCUUCGAGGAAGCAAAGAAUAUUGACGUUGAGGUAGCUUAAGUGAACAUACAAAUCAAAGAUAACUUGAAUUUGAAGCAUUAUAAAGCGAAAGGUUGAAGGUAUC
rnacentral:lncRNA from 1 species